rnacentral:rRNA from 1 species
UACGAACCGGACAAACGUUAUUCGGAAUCACUGGGCUUAAAGAGUGCGUAGGCGGCUUACCAAGUUGGGUGUGAAAUCCCUCGGCUCAACCGAGGAAUUGCGCUCAAAACUGGCAGGCUUGAGGAAGGCAGGGGUAAGCGGAACUGAUGGUGGAGCGGUGAAAUGCGUUGAUAUCAUCAGGAACACCAGUGGCGAAGGCGGCUUACUGGGCCUUUUCUGACGCUGAGGCACGAAAGCUAGGGUAGCGAACGGG